rnacentral:rRNA from 1 species
GAGAGUUUGAUCCUGGCUCAGGACGAACGCUGGCGGCGUGCCUAACACAUGCAAGUCGGACGGGCAUCAGGUGGAAGCUUGCUGAAGCCUGAUGUUAGUGGCGGACGGGUGAGUGACGCGUGAGGACCUAUCCGGAGGAGGGGGACAACAGUUGGAAACGACUGCUAAGACCCCAUAAGCCGAGAGGUGAAAGGGAGCGAUCCGCUUCCGGAGGGACUCGCGGGCUAUCAGCUUGUUGGUGGGGUAACGGCCUACCAAGGCGAAGACGGCAAGCCGGCCUGAGAGGGCGACCGGCCACACUGGAACUGAGAUACGGUCCAGACUCCUACGGGAGGCAGCAGUGGGGAAUAUUGGGCAAUGGGGGAAACCCUGACCCAGCGACGCCGCGUGGAGGAAGAAGUCCCUCGGGAUGUAAACUCCUGUUGUGUGGGAAGAAGCGAGUGACGGUACCACACGAGGAAGCCCCGGCAAACUACGUGCCAGCAGCCGCGGUAAUACGUAGGGGGCGAGCGUUGUCCGGAAUCACUGGGCGUAAAGGGCACGCAGGCGGACCGACAGGUCGUUUGUGAAAGGCGAGGGCUCAACCCUUG